GUCCUUUCGUUUUUUUGGAAGGUCUGGCCUGCCCAGUGAAUAAGUAUUUAACGGCCGCGGUAUAUUGACCGUGCAAAGGUAGCAUAAUCAUUAGUCUUUUAAUAGGAGGCUGGAAUGAAAGGUUUAACGAAACAUUAGCUGUCUCAUUUGUAUAAUUAAAAUUUAACUUUUGAGUUAAAAGACUUAAAUGUAGUUGUUGGACGAGAAGACCCUAUAGAGCUUUACAUUAAUUAUUUUAAUUAUUAUUUUGUUUAAUAAUUUAUUAUUAAUAUAAUUGUUGUUUUGUUGGGGUGACAAAUACAUAUGUUUAACUUUUUUAUUUUAUAAUCAUUAAUUUAUGUUUAUUGGAUCCAAUAAUAUUGAUCAUUAGAUUAAGUUACCUUAGGGAUAACAGCGUAAUCUUCUUUCAGAGUUCAAAUUUACAAGAAGGCUUGCGACCUCGAUGUUGGAUUAAGAUAAUAAUUAGGUGCAGUAGUUUAAUUAAUAGGUCUGUUCGACCUUUAAAUUCUUACAUGAUCUGAGUUCAGACCGG
rnacentral:rRNA from 1 species